UGGGGAAUUUUGCGCAAUGGGGGAAACCCUGACGCAGCGACGCCGCGUGAGCGAAGAAGGCCUUCGGGUCGUAAAGCUCAGUCAUUGGGGAUGAAAAGGACAGUACCCAAAGAGGAAGCCCCGGCUAACUACGUGCCAGCAGCCGCGGUAAUACGUAGGGGGCGAGCGUUGUCCGGAAUUACUGGGUGUAAAGGGCGUGUAGGCGGGGAUGCAAGUUACCGGUAAAAACCCGAGGCUCAACCACGGGCUUGCCGAUAAAACUGUAUCUCUUGAGUAUAGGAGAGGGAAGUGGAAUUUCCGGAGUAGCGGUGAAAUGCGUAGAUACCGGGAAGAACACCAGUGGCGAAGGCGGCUUCCUGGCCUAUUACUGACGCUGAGGCGCGAAAGCUAGGGUAGCGAACGGG
rnacentral:rRNA from 1 species